rfam:Gossypium raimondii Chr11_contig_12, whole genome shotgun sequence.
UGUUAAAAAUUUAUUCUAUUUCUACUGUUAAAAACUGAUAUGGCAUAAUACCAAAAAAUUACACGUGGCAUGCCAGGUGUACCUCAUUUUGACAUACAGGGACCACCAGUUUUUAACAAUAGAAAUUGAUCGAAUUUUUAAUA